GGAGUGAGGAUUGGCACAGAGGUAGGUAGAGCCCUUAAAGAACAUGUAGUCCACCCUCCCCAUCUUACAAAGGAGAAACCAAGCCCGGAAAUGUGACACUGUACCUCCAACCCAGCCCACAGCUCUAGUAGAACAAGACACCCCAUCUUCCAGUUCCCUGCUUUUGGACUGGUUUUCCCUUCUACCUGGAAUAUUCUGCCUUCUCAUCUCUGCCUCCUGACUCCGUUCAAAGCCCAGCUAAAAUGCAACCUUCAAAGGAAGCCUUUACCAAUCACCCUUAAGAUGUUGCGUAUACCACAUCACUUGAUUUUACAUUGGAGUGGAGUCAGGAACAGGACCAGCCAGAAGGUGUAACUAAAAUAUAUGUGCCCUCUGCUUUCUGCCUUGGCUACAGUUUCUGUAAUGGCAGCACACCACUCCUGCUGCAGUGAACCAUUAUGGAAAGACAUGGGAUGAUAUAUUGUGUGACAGAGAUUAUACUGAUAGGCUGCAGCAAACUGCGUACUGCUGCAUUGUAAAGAGUGUAUCUCCGCAGUGUUCAGUUAGCUUCUGUUUACAGUAAAUUGCUUCAUAUAAGAGAACUGAGUAUAGAUGUUCUUCAAUGUUUAAGUCUAUCAUCUAAUCAGCAUAGUGUCUACAAAUAGAAGAUGGAGAACCUGACCAAUUUCAAGCAUUCUGGAAAUCACUUACAACAGUAACAAAUAUCUUUGAUGAUCGUGCAUCCCGCUUA